rnacentral:rRNA from 1 species
CAGGCCUAACACAUGCAAGUCGAACGAGAUCCCUUUUUCUACUUGCUAGAAAAAGAAGAUUGCAGUGGCGGACGGGUGAGGAACACGUAAGAACUUACCUUUUGGUGGGGGAUAACAGCGGGAAACUGCUGCUAACACCCCAUAAUGCUGAGGAGCUAAAAGUGAAAACUGCCAAGAGAGAGGCUUGCGUCUGAUUAGCUAGUUGGGAGGGUAAAGGCUUCCCAAGGCGACGAUCAGUAGCUGGUCUGAGAGGAUGAUCAGCCACACUGGGACUGAGACACGGCCCAGACUCCUACGGGAGGCAGCAGUGGGGAAUUUUCCACAAUGGGCGAAAGCCUGAUGGAGCAAUACCGCGUGGGUGAAGACGGUUCGUGGAUUGUAAAGCCCUUUUCUUAAGGAAGAUAAAUGACGGUACUUAAGGAAUAAGCACCGGCUAACUCUGUGCCAGCAGCCGCGGUAAUACAGGGGGUGCAAGCGUUGUCCGGAAUGAUUGGGCGUAAAGCAUCUGUAGGUGGUUCUUAAAGUCAACUGUUAAAUCCCAGGGCUCAACCUUGGAAAAGCAGUUGAGUACUUAAGGACUUGAGUGUGGUAGAGGCAGAGGGAAUUCCUAGUGGAGCGGUGAAAUGCACAGAGAUUAGGAAGAACACCAGAGGCGAAAGCGCUCUGCUGGGCCAUCCACUGACACUGAGAGAUGAAAGUUAGGGGAGCGAAAAGGAUUAGAUACCCUUGUAGUCCUAACCGUAAACGAUGGAUACUAAGUGCUGUCAAAAACAGUGCUAAAGCUAACGCGUUAAGUAUCCCGCCUGGGGAGUAUGCUCGCAAGAGUGAAACUCAAAGGAAUUGACGG